rnacentral:rRNA from 1 species
GACGUAGGGCGCGAGCGUUGUCCGGAUUUAUUGGGCGUAAAGAGCUCGUAGGCGGUCUGUCGCGUCUGCUGUGAAAACUCGGGGCUUAACCCCGGGCCUGCAGUGGGUACGGGCAGACUAGAGUGCGGUAGGGGAGACUGGAAUUCCUGGGUGUAGCGGUGAAAUGCGCAGAGUAUCAGGAGGAACACCGGUGGCGAAGGCGGGUC